AACGAACGCUGGCGGCAUGCCUAACACAUGCAAGUCGAACGAGACCUUCGGGUCUAGUGGCGCACGGGUGCGUAACGCGUGGGAACCUGCCCUUAGGUUCGGAAUAACUCCCCGAAAGGGGUGCUAAUACCGGAUAAUGUCUUCGGACCAAAGAUUUAUCGCGUCUGGAUGGGCCCGCGUUGGAUUAGCUAGUUGGUAGGGUAAAAGCCUACCAAGGCGACGAUCCAUAGCUGGUCUGAGAGGAUGAUCAGCCACACUGGGACUGAGACACGGCCCAGACUCCUACGGGAGGCAGCAGUGGGGAAUAUUGGACGAUGGGCGAAAGCCUGAUCCAGCAAUGCCGCGUGAGUGAUGAAGGCCUUAGGGUUGUAAAGCUCUUUUACCCGGGAUGAUAAUGACAGUACCGGGAGAAUAAGCUCCGGCUAACUCCGUG
rnacentral:rRNA from 1 species